AAAGAAACACGGUAGAAGCGACGCCCCCUUCCGUGGCGUUCAUGAACGCCACAAUAACGGGGUUCUUUGCGCGAAAAGGGUCGAUGUAUGGGGGAAACAUGGCGGCAGCAACAUGACACAUGGUCAGGAAAUACGUCGAUUGAAGAAGAAGCAACCCUCAGCGCGAGUAGCAAUAGAGUUUCCGUGACAUUGGCGGAGUCGAAACAACUGUCGAAUGUGAAAAGGAAAGGGGCCAAUAUUUCAGUUCAUAUGCAGUUUACUUCAUUGGUUUGACACAAAUCGGACGCACAUUUUUAUGUUGAAGAAUUGUUUUCAAGGAAAACCAACAGGGGAAGCCGGGAGAAGACGGCCACUCUCUAGAUUAUUGAAACAAUCAACUAUCGGACAAUUGUAAUAAAUUAUUUUAGCGUGUUGUAUUACCCUCAAUUAUAUAUAUCCAUUUAAGCGUGAGUAUUGGUGAAACGGCACUAGAAACAACAAAAACGAGCUUUUCAGAUGGCGACGAUCAUCGGUUUAUUAUUUUGCUUGCUAUGAAUUUAGUGUUUUAGUGGUAAAUAUGUACAUUUUUCGUCAAUUCAUGAAUUAAGUGCGUUCAAAAAAUAUUGUUUAUGGUAAAGCACAUCUCUUACAAUAGUGGCCGU